rnacentral:rRNA from 1 species
AGCGAACGCUGGCGGCAGGCCUAACACAUGCAAGUCGAACGGAUCCUUCGGGAUUAGUGGCGGACGGGUGAGUAACACGUGAGAACGUGCCCUUUGGUUCGGAACAACUCAGGGAAACUUGAGCUAAUACCGGAUGUGCCCUUCGGGGGAAAGAUUUAUCGCCAUUGGAGCGGCCCGCGUCUGAUUAGCUAGUUGGUGAGGUAAAGGCUCACCAAGGCGACGAUCAGUAGCUGGUCUGAGAGGAUGAUCAGCCACAUUGGGACUGAGACACGGCCCAAACUCCUACGGGAGGCAGCAGUGGGGAAUCUUGCGCAAUGGGCGAAAGCCUGACGCAGCCAUGCCGCGUGAAUGAUGAAGGUCUUAGGAUUGUAAAAUUCUUUCACCGGGGACGAUAAUGACGGUACCCGGAGAAGAAGCCCCGGCUAACUUCGUGCCAGCAGCCGCGGUAAGAC